rnacentral:rRNA from 1 species
CAGUUCAGUUCACGUCGAGUGCAAUCCAUGCGCAAAACGACCGAUUAUUUGGGUGUGUUGUGUCUAUAAAGCUAGGAGAGGAACGAGGUACGAAAAGGCGGUGACGUGUUCGGAGCGACGACGUGGACGGACUGCGCAGCGGCCUCAGACUAGCUAGCUGCAUGUCUAGGGCUAGAUGCGGGACGGGUGCAUUUUAAUUGGCUCGAUCGUGCAGGACGUUGGGUACCUCCGCCGAGAGCACUCACACCGCUGCCCCCAGGACUUCGGGCAGGACCUCUUCGACCGUCGAGACGAACCACUGCUCAUGUUUGCCAAGUUCCCUCACGCGUUCCUAUAGUUCAGGGAGUGAGCGCUCGAGGGACGGUACCUCCGAAAAGAGGAGUUCUACAGGCUCCUGCUCCUAGGACUACACCUCCUAUUUCAAACCUACUUACUCCACGCUCUCGAUAGAAUCCUGUACCUCCUACGGUAACUGUUGAAGUACGUUUCGCAUCCUCUGUUUCUACUUUUCGGUCUACCGAAUUAACUGUUCUAUUUUUUACGCGAUCCCUUCAACCCCUUCUACUUCCGAGCCGCAGCCUAACCGUUCCUCUAGGUUCUAGAGUUCUUUGUUUAGUUUCUCCACUCACUCUCCUUACGUUCCAUGUUCUCAGCGCUCCGGAAGAGGUUCUGGCAGUUACGCUGGCAACUGGGAUCUCGAGAACGAUAUAAACUCGUACGUACCUUCGAACGACCUUAACUACUUGGGUUCCGACUCUAUUAGUUUAACAACUACCUGCUACUACCCACACGCUGUUGUGUUGUUGUUGGUUUCUAUCAGAGGUAGUGAUCUGGCCCUCCUUACCCGUUUUGUUGAGAACGCUUGGUUCACAUAGUUCUCUAGUUUCCCGUCAAACUCACAACCCGGAAGGAUAGGCACAGCGCUUCGGGUCUGUACUACUUAUAGGACUCCUGAUAAGAAUCACUUCAAUCGUCACUAGCAAUAAGAUUGUGCCUUCGUCCCUCACAUGUUUAUGAGUAAUCGUUCUAGUUACUGAAGGAUGAUCUAUUUUCUGCACCACGUCUACUCCGACCCGUGACUUAGCGACGUGAGUUGUGCCUUAUAGGUAAACACUCGGGUCCGAGAGAGGUAAAAGAGCGUUAUAAUUAUAGGAAAAAGGUUUUUCCCCUCAUGGGGCCGGAGACGUAGUGUUCUACGUGUGUUGGUAAAAUAAUUUACACUUUGUUCAAGUUCAGUAGCUCACGGUCCUUCAUUCUGUUUAUUUUUCUUUUGUACCGGUGUUGACCUGUAUGAAUCUAAUGUAUCGAGUAGGUGUAUUGAAUGCUCACCGAGUGGUUCGUUUGAUCAACUUAUUUGGUACACGUUAGCAAAGGUCGGCCGACGUGGGUUUCUGGUAUUCGCGGACGUUUAGGUGUACGACGUCACUACUGGUGUAUACCUAACUUCAUCUAUUGGACGUUCUUUAAUCCUCGUCUACUAACCAAUUUUGUGUCAGUAAGGUCGUUUAGGUAUAACCGUUCUCUUACCGUGUUUGAGGGUGUACUUAAGUUGGUAAGUUGAAUGUUACUUAUGUGGGUUGGUUAAGGUUUUGUUUAAACUUUAUGAGCAACCACCACGAUUAAUAUUCAUCUACUUAGUACGUGCCCUAGUUCCAUCAUUUAACUGUACUAUUUUUAUUUACUACUUUAUAGAGGAGAACUAAUAUCUUUGUUGUAAAAACGAUGGUACGGUAAAUGCGAAUCGUUCUAAUAGAAACCAUUCUUGAUGAAGUGAGACCCUUUUGGUGUACUUUAAAACUAGAACCUUCCUUGGAAACAAAAAGUUUACACAAGAGAUACUUUUUAUUCAGACCUUAGGUGGUAUAGGCAUAUGUAUCUGAAGUGUCAUUUCUGUACCAAUCACCAAUUAGAGGCGAACUUAUUUAGACCGUAGACUCAAUCUAAUUCUUUGUAGUUUGAUCUUUGGUUUUCCUGGGUGAAUCAGGUAAAGAGUGGGUCGUUUCAGAACGCCACAAGUCUCCUGAUCGGGGAUCUUAUCUUCGGUGACUUAGAAGAAAAGAUUUGUGUUAUAAUGUAUCUCAGCCCAUAACAUCUCGAUUACCUCACGGUGGGUUGGUUCAUAGAAGGGUUUUUCAACAGCCAACCGGUUAUGGUUGGAAUUUCCUAAGAAGCUAUUUUUUCCUACUGAACUGGAAGUAGUUUGGGGAGGUUUUACCAUUUACUUUGGUAUCAUAGUUGAACCGAGUGAAAAGAAAGAUUAAGAGGAACUCGAAGGAAUUGUAGGGCUUGAUAUUACCAAAACCGGUCAUUUAAACUACUAUAUCUACGACCAAAACGUUCACACCGUAGUGCAGUGUAUCAAAAGUGUUCUUUCGAUAGUGUGUGUGUAUUGGAGAGAGAAACCCAACGAAAAGAGAAGUCUGGUCUACGUGCCACGGAGCUAAGUGAACAGAAGGAGGAGAGAGCAGGGCGGUUGGCGAACGGUGUGACGAGAUAACUCUGGUCGAGGCAAGAACAACGGGAUGUGUCAGUAUGUAGUCACCGCUACAUCGGUAGAUUCUAACUAUUUCAAUAUCAAAUGAUCCAAUUCACUCGGAUUAACAAAAAUUUCCCUUUCGUACGGGUUUAGACAUCAGAUCCUCCCUUUUGUAUGUAAGAAGAUAUAUCAUAUAUACAUCAAAUGAGAUUAAAGUAAAAUCAAGUAAGUUAGAAACCAAGGUGUGGAUCUAAGAACGAAACAACGAGUACUGGUGGACUAGCUGCGGAUGCAUACUAAUAAGUAGAAAAUUACGUAGAGAACAAAAGGGUGUAUUAACAGGCCUGAACCAGUAAAGACACCAGUACGGAGAUGACGGAACGACAGAGAUUACGCGGUUUGAUUGUACCCACACGUUUUGCUUAAUACAUUGUAUACGGGAAAAUCGUGAGCACACAAAUAGGAAAGGUGAAACAGUUACAAUUACACAAGGAAAUAAGAAACAGACAGAUACGCUGUCUGAAAUAAAAUGUCGAUACGAUUAUAAAUAAACAGGUGUAUAUCCAUGAAACAACAACUACUACUAUAUACCCUGCACCUAUGUACCCUAUAAUAAUUCACACGUAAGGGGCGUUGUUCAUUAUGGUCAUCUUAUUAGUGAUGACGAGCAUAUUUGUUACAGCGAGUAAGUACAAAUAGUAGUAAGUUACCAGCAUAAAUGUUAUAUUCCCGAGAGUCAUACCACGUGAGUUCUGUCAAUAAAGUAUCUUCCGAUAAGUUCAGACUACUUCUAACGGGAAGUAUGGAAGUUCUUUAAAGACUCGUCUAUAACCUUUUUACGGUACCCAAUGGAAACCGCUAGUAACGAUAUAGACCAAACAAUCGAUUAUAUCUUUUUUGUCUUCUAGAUACCUUAGUUCACUUUCUAAGUUAACCAGCACGUGAACUUUCUUUAGGAUUACAGCUUCCUUACUACUUCUAUAACAGUGAAUCAAUGAAACUAGACGGAGAAAUGGAUUUUUGUACAGAGAAUAUAGACUCACAUAUAAAUCUUCUAAGAUGAUAAUUCUUCUUCCCGAACUAUUCUUCUACCUAACGACUUGCUAAGUAAGUAUCUCUUCCAUCUAUGUGCCGUAUACUCAAUCCUCUUUCCACAAAAUCACUUGAUGAGUUAUCCCCAAACUAGGUUGGACCCCUCUAUCUACAGAUACCGCUCCACUUAUCAACAGUUCAAGUGCUGUGUUAAGAACUAAAAUAGUAUAGGUUCAGAUAUCUUCUCUUAAAACAAUGAAAAGCACCAGAAGGGGAAUACUGUUAACCCUUUGUUUCGUUUCAACAAGCAGUUGAGACAGAUGUACCACAUUUCCUUCCUUUAAGUUGUCAUAACUGUCGCCCAGAGCACAAAAGGGUAGAGGCUAGUGAAUGAUACCAAUCUCCAGACAACCUUUAGGGAAGAAACCUUCUCAAGUCUGUAGACGCACAAGAGCUGAACUACCGAACGAGGUUUAACCUUCUGGUAGUAGAACUUUUAUAUCACUCCAACAAGGUCGACUCCAUGGACUUGGAGGUUCCAUGUUCUUAUUCGUUCGAGGGUCUUGUUUAACCCGCAAAUCCUACGAAUCUUCACGACCUGGAUUCUCCCUGAAGACAUUUUCUUAAUGGACGUACAUAACACUUAGAGUCUUUUAACUACGUAGAUGAACCAUUACUACUACGUUUUAAAGGACUACCCUAACACUUCUACGUUCGUGAUCUCUACAACCUUAUACAGUUACGGAGGUAAGUCGGUAAACUGAAGGACGCGCCGGAACCUGUUGAUUUCUUAAACUCCUUAGAUGUUGAACUGGAACUAAAGCUUAAACUACGACAAUGGCUCCUAUGUUUAUACCAACCCCUCCUCGUGUGGUUUCGAUAACAGUGGAGGGAUACAUUUGAUCCGUGGGUCUUAGAGGCGAGGGACUGAUAAAUACCUCCCUCGUUGGAAAAUGUAUUCCUUAGAAACACGGAUGGAUGGGAGCUCCUGGAAACAUAGAUAAAAAGCCGGAAGGGUGUCCAAGGCUGUACCGACCCGAGGAAGUCUUUUGAGGUUGCCGAUGCGGAACCAUACUUCCCCGAGUUCGUCCUGCCGGAGACGUGGGAACCCCGAAAUGGGUCAGACGAGCAAGACAUAGACCACCUUGUUUGUCGCAGUUUGCCUUUCGAGUCUAAGUCACCCAGGUACGGUUUCGACCUUUUUGAGCUCGAAUUAACAAAAACCUAUCAACUUCGAUUGAGAGACCCCAAACCUUAGCUCUUGGAGGGAACGGAGUGAUCACAAUUUACGUAACUCAAACGACCACUACUACCGCAUCAACUUCGGUACUUCUGACAGUACCUCUCUCCUCGGUCGUGUGUAGGGUUGGUGGGAUCGGAUGAGAAACUCUCUGAAACUUAAUUGUUCGGUUGUUGUGCCCUCAACGAAGACGAGCAGCAGGCCGGCUGGUCGGCCAAGAGUUUAAAAUAUGAUCACAGAUAGAGCUAAGUAGAGAGAACAUACUAUGUGAUGAGAGAGACAAUCUAUUAUUAAAUGAUACUAUUACUAUGGUUUAACAUCUUAACCAAUUCUGACAAUGAUAUGACGUAAAACACAUUAUUGGUCAGUAGGCACAACUACCAAAUUAUAAUAACCCGCUGGUAAGCAUCAACAGUAAGACAUCAACGGUACGAGAAACCAUUAUGUAAAGAGGAAACGAGAAAAUAGG